GAUGAACGCUGGCGGCGUGCCUAAUACAUGCAAGUCGAGCGAACAGAUAAGGAGCUUGCUCCUUUGACGUUAGCGGCGGACGGGUGAGUAACACGUGGGUAACCUACCUAUAAGACUGGAAUAACUCCGGGAAACCGGGGCUAAUGCCGGAUAACAUGUUGAACCGCAUGGUUCUACAGUGAAAGGCGGCUUUGCUGUCACUUAUAGAUGGACCCGCGCCGUAUUAGCUAGUUGGUGAGGUAACGGCUCACCAAGGCAACGAUACGUAGCCGACCUGAGAGGGUGAUCGGCCACACUGGAACUGAGACACGGUCCAGACUCCUACGGGAGGCAGCAGUAGGGAAUCUUCCGCAAUGGGCGAAAGCCUGACGGAGCAACGCCGCGUGAGUGAUGAAGGUCUUCGGAUCGUAAAACUCCGUUAUUAGGGAAGAACAAAUGCGUAAGUAACUGUGCGCGUCUUGACGGUACCUAAUCAGAAAGCCACGGCUAACUACGUG
rnacentral:rRNA from 1 species